GACGAACGCUGGCGGCGUGCUUAACACAUGCAAGUCGAACGGUGAAGGGAUCAGCUUGCUGGUUCUGGAUGAGUGGCGAACGGGUGAGUAACACGUGAGUAACCUGCCCCCUUCUUCUGGAUAACCGCAUGAAAGUGUGGCUAAUACGGGAUAUUCUGCGCCUGCUGCAUGGUGGGUGUGGGAAAGAUAUUGUUUCGGUGGGGGAUGGGCUCGCGGCCUAUCAGCUUGUUGGUGGGGUGAUGGCCUACCAAGGCGGUGACGGGUAGCCGGCCUGAGAGGGUGGACGGUCACACUGGGACUGAGACACGGCCCAGACUCCUACGGGAGGCAGCAGUGGGGAAUAUUGCACAAUGGGCGCAAGCCUGAUGCAGCGACGCCGCGUGAGGGAUGGAGGCCUUCGGGUUGUGAACCUCUUUCGCCAGUGAAGCAGGCCUGUCCCUUGUGGGUGGGUUGACGGUAGCUGGAGAAGAAGCGCCGGCUAACUGCGUG
rnacentral:rRNA from 1 species